rnacentral:rRNA from 1 species
CUGCUUACACAUGCAGUCGUACGAAUGAAUUUCAGCUUGCUGAAAUUUAAUGAGUGGCGUACGGGUGAGUAACACGUAAGAACCUACCUUUUGGAGAGGGAUAACCACUGGAAACGGUGGCUAAUACCUCAUAUUGCUGAGAAGUGAAAAGAUGUAUAAUCGCCAAGAGAUGGGCUUGCGGCUGAUUAGCUAGUUGGUGGGGUAAAGGCUUACCAAGGCAAUGAUCAGUAGCUGGUCUGAGAGGAUGAUCAGCCACACUGGGACUGAGACACGGCCCAGACUCCUACGGGAGGCAGCAGUGAGGAAUUUUCCGCAAUGGGCGAAAGCCUGACGGAGCAAUGCCGCGUGAAGGAUGAAGGCCUAUGGGUUGUAAACUUCUUUUCUCAGAGAAGAAAUUUUGACGGUAUCUGAGGAAUAAGCAUCGGCUAACUCUGUGCCAGCAGCCGCGGUAAGACAGAGGAUGCAAGCGUUAUCCGGAAUGAUUGGGCGUAAAGCGUCUGUAGGUGGUUUGACAAGUCUUUUGUCAAAGAUCAGGGCUUAACCCUGGGCAGGCAAGAGAAACUAUCAGACUAGAGUUCGGUAGGGGCAGAGGGAAUUCCCGGUGGAGCGGUGAAAUGCGUAGAGAUCGGGAGGAACACCAAAGGCGAAAGCACUCUGCUGGGCCGCAACUGACACUGAGAGACGAAAGCGAGGGGAGCAAAUGGGAUU